AACGAUUCGUGGAGCGAUGAAGCGGAGUCCCCAAGUGGUCGCUUGAGCUCCGUGGAGUCAAUAGCGAAACCGACCGGGUAGGUU
rnacentral:ncRNA from 24 species